GAAAUGCGAUAAGUAGUGUGAAUUGCAGAAUUCAGUGAAUCAUCGAAUCUUUGAACGCACAUUGCGCCCUUUGGUAUUCCAAAGGGCAUGCCUGUUCGAGCGUCAUUUGUACCCUCAAGCUUUGCUUGGUGUUGGGCGUCUUGUCUCUAGCUUUGCUGGAGACUCGCCUUAAAGUAAUUGGCAGCCGGCCUACUGGUUUCGGAGCGCAGCACAAGUCGCACUCUCUAUCAGCAAAGGUCUAGCAUCCAUUAAGCCUUUUUUCAACUUUUGACCUCGGAUCAGGUAGGGAUACCCGCUGAAGUUAAGC
rnacentral:misc_RNA from 1 species